AUAUUAGUACCCGUCCUGGCUCGGCGCCUGUAGCAAAUAUAGAUUUUACGGCAAGUGGACUUUACAUAAUACUCAAAAGGGCAGGCAGAGAUCCAGCAAGGUUGAAAUAUUUGCCACUUGUGAAAUUAAUAAAGAUAGUCCCGGCCUUCUUCCUGUGUGUGUUCUCCCCAGGUUCCUCCCUCAUUCCAAAACAAGAUUCUGACACUAUGUGACUCAAAUUCUGGCCUUGAGUGAGAAUAUGAACGUGAAUAGUUGUUUGUCCGCAAUUGCCCUUGUGAUUGGCUGGCUACCAGACUCCAGGGCGGACACCGCCACUCACCAGUGGAGCCUGUAAUUCUUGACCGAAACAUAAAAUGGCGUCCUAAUCAGCAAUGGAUUGUUCCUCUUACCCCUUUGUUGAGCACGGAUCUUUCACCGGACCAGGCCGAUAACCCGGCCAGUGCGGCUGUGAGGGGAGGGGCCAGGGCCUCACAAAGAGGCUGCAGUGAUGCUUAGCGGCUCUGAGGUAGCCGUAGCGCUGCAGCAUGUCGCAUGCAUGGGACUGCGGAAGAGGGUGCGUAGAAUUGAUGGACAGGUGGAGCAAGCACAAGCUUGCAUGUCUCUCCUUCAAGGCAUACGGCACAUAUUUUGCAUUGUCCAUUAUUCAUGCGAAAGCAGCUGUAGACUGCACACAAAUGCACAUGCAUGUUUCCAAGGCUACAUGGCUCUUCUUGAUUGUUUAUCUCUGACUGUGCUGAGAUAAAUUUGUUUUAAUUAGCUCUAAUUAUAGGCGAGGCAGGCUAGUGAACUGAAGAGCAAAGGCUUAAUUCCUAUAUGCGACAGACUCACUAUACAAUAUAAGACAUGGCGCACCUUUGAAGCAUUGAUGCACAGUAUCGAUCGUAACGUGGAAAAAUAGCACGCACAUCAUAUUUUGGGUGUCGAAAAUACGGCUAGGCCCGCUGCUCACUAAUAUCAACCGGAGUGGCUCAAAUCUAGAGCUGACGCCGUGGGAUUUCCUAUCCUAUUAAUAUUGCUAUUUCGAGCCAUCUGGCCUACUGUGGACAAGACAGUCUAUAACUGAGAAUGUUGGUUCUAGUGACCGAAAUAGAUGUCUUACUUCCUAUACACUGGAAGGCAAAUGUGAGUGUGUGAAAUAAAAAAAAGAGCGAAA